GGAGAUGCCCUAAGUACGCCACAUGCAUUGGCUCCAAGCACAGCGAAAUCACAAGCGUCCUUGCAGCAACAAUGGCUCUCCUCAAAAACUUGGCCGCGUUCGUGUGCGUGAUGCUGGCCUCGCUCGCGUUCGCCGCGCAGGCCGUCCUGGCCGCCAGAGGCCUCGCCCCGGCCACCGGUAAGUACAGUCAGCUCUCAGUCCCAAUAUCUACUUGCUUCUCAGAAUUUUUCCUGGUUUUUCCAGUGUAAGAAUUGUGACUCGGUCUGACGAGGUAUCCUGCGUGCGUGCGUGGGCUCGAACGCCAUUGCAGGUGCUUUAAGCAGCAUGAAUACGUACACGGGUGAAACGCCUGACCCCCCUUGUAAGAAAGGUGAUGAUUACUGUUCAAGCGGGAAACCUGCACAUUAGCCUCCGAGAAGAUAGGCCGCCGGGGAACCACAUUUGGAGGUUGGAGCAUGAAGAUCCAUACAAGUACCGUCCAAACAUGAAUAAAUUAGCUACUGAACACUAGUAUUUGUUGUUGAUAUAAACAUAGUGAGGUGAGACUAUCUAUCGUUGUGUUUUCAUUUCGAAUGAAGGCCAGAGAGCGCCACGUGAUUAUCUAUAAUACCAGGAGAAAAAAAGCCGUGCCGUGUUUACGGGGCACAAUUCUCUUUCUCUGUGUGUUGGUGUUGUAUCUCGCAAGAAGUAAUAUGUGUUUUAAGUGUCUCCGUACGUGAGUCUGAUCUGCUUUGCUUGAUGUUUCUCUCCGUGCACA
rnacentral:lncRNA from 1 species